rnacentral:rRNA from 1 species
AUAUUGCACAAUGGGGGAAACCCUGAUCCAGCCAUGCCGCGUGUGUGAAGAAGGUCUUNGGAUUGNANAGCACUUUACGUUGGGANGCAGGGUUGUAGGUUAAUACCCUGCAAUUUUGACGUUACAAACAGAAUAAGCACCUGCUACCUUCGUCCCAGCAGCCGCGGUAAUACGAAGGGUGCAAGCGUUAAUCGGAAUUACUGGGCGUAAAGCGCGCGUAGGUGGUUCGUUAAGUUGGAAGUGAAAUCCCCGGGCUUAACCUGGGAAUUGCUUUCAAAGCUGACGAGGUAGAGUAAGGUAGAGGGUAGUAGAAUAUCCUGUGUAGCGGUGAAAUGCGUAGAUAUAGGAAGGAACAUCAGUGGCGAAGGCGACUACCUGGACUGAUACUGACACUGAGGUGCGAAAGCGUGGGGAGCAAACAGG